GCUGAGCGAUACUAUUAAAAUGAAGCGACCCUGAAAAAGUAUUGAAAUCCUCCAGAGUGCGUCUAGCUUUCCCAUCACCAUCACCAUUCCUAUUUUCAGCCAUUUGUUCCACUUCCUGCUCAGCUGUAGGCAAAAUAGGUUGCUCAAGAGUCACAAGAGCGGGAGAAGUUUCUCUAGAUGCCCGAUUCUCUCUUCUUCUUCUACUGUUGUUUCNUCGGGCAGUCUUUUCAACUUCGGGAUCUAA
rnacentral:lncRNA from 1 species